rnacentral:rRNA from 1 species
GACGAACGCUGGCGGCGUGCCUAAUACAUGCAAGUAGAACGCUGAAGAGAGGAGCUUGCUCUUCUUGGAUGAGUUGCGAACGGGUGAGUAACGCGUAGGUAACCUGCCUGGUAGCGGGGGAUAACUAUUGGAAACGAUAGCUAAUACCGCAUAAAAUUGAUUAUUGCAUGAUAAUUAAUUGAAAGAUGCAAUUGCAUCACUACCAGAUGGACCUGCGUUGUAUUAGCUAGUUGGUGAGGUAACGGCUCACCAAGGCGACGAUACAUAGCCGACCUGAGAGGGUGAUCGGCCACACUGGGACUGAGACACGGCCCAGACUCCUACGGGAGGCAGCAGUAGGGAAUCUUCGGCAAUGGGGGGAACCCUGACCGAGCAACGACGCGUGAGUGAAGAAGGUUUUCGGAUCGUAAAGCUCUGUUGUAAGAGAAGAAACGGGUGUGAGAGUGGAAAAGUUCACACUGUGACCGGU